rnacentral:rRNA from 1 species
GACGAACGCUGGCGGCGUGCCUAAUACAUGCAAGUUGAGCGCUGAAGGUUGGUACUUGUACCGACUGGAUGAGCAGCGAACGGGUGAGUAACGCGUGGGUAAUCUGCCUUUGAGCGGGGGACAACAUUUGGAAACGAAUGCUAAUACCGCAUAAAAUCUUUAAACACAAGUUUUAAGUUUGAAAGAUGCAAUUGCAUCACUCAAAGAUGAUCCCGCGUUGUAUUAGCUAGUUGGUGAGGUAAAGGCCCACCAAGGCGAUGAUACAUAGCCGACCUGAGAGGGUGAAUGGCCAAAAUUGGACUGAGAACAGGCCCAAACCUCUACGGGAGGCAGCAGUAGGGGAUCUUCGGCAAAUGACGGAAGUCUGACCGAGCAACGCCGCGGGAGUGAAGAAGGUUUUCGGGUCGGAAAACUCUGUUGGUAGAGAAGAAAGUUGGUGAGAGUGGAAAGCGCAUCAAGUGACGGUAACUAACCAGAAAGGGACGGCUAACUACGUG